GACGAACGCUGGCGGCGUGCUUAACACAUGCAAGUCGAACGGAAAGGCCCUGCUUUUGUGGGGUGCUCGAGUGGCGAACGGGUGAGUGACACGUGAGUAACCUGCCCUUGACUUUGGGAUAAAUUCAGGAGACAGCGGCUAUUACAGGAUAGAAGCUCCUGCUGCGUGGGGGGGGAUGGAGAGUUUCGGCGGUUGGGGCUGGACUCGCGGCUUAUGCGCUUGUUGGUGUGGUAGUGGCUUACCAAGUCUAUGACGGAUAGGCCGCCUGAGAGCGUGACCGGCGACAUGGGUCCUGAGGUACGGCCCAGUCGGCUACGGGCCGCAGUGGUGGAGAGUAUUGCACAGCGGGCGGACGUCUGAUGUAGCGGCGCCGCGAGCGUGAUGCUGGCCUUCGGGUUGUAAACAGCUUUCGACUGUGCUGUGGCGGUAGUGACGGUAAUGAGUAAAGAAGCACCGGCUAACUACGUG
rnacentral:rRNA from 1 species